GCUACAGACGUGUCAUAUUCCAGGCAUCACCGUCCCUUGGUGGGAAGAGCUGCUGCUUCCACCCCAAACAAACGCUCCCGCUCAGCGGGGUGCACAGAGCAGUGCCAGAGCUCGCUGCCGGGGACGAGGGAGCCCUCCUGCCGCCCCGCAGCGUGCCGGGUGUCCCGGCCCUGAGCAGAAGGCGGCUGCCGUGGGCUCUGCCGGUCCUCUCAGGCCUCGGGCCUCCCCAGCCGGCGCUCGGGUGGAUGGCGCAGCGGUAAAGGACAAGUGGAACGAGACAGCGAUAGCGGCAGCGGAAAGCGUUCAGGAAGGUCAAUAACUGGGGGACGGUGAAGCGAGGCAUCAAGGAAACAACUCGGGCAGGAAAGUGUGAAGUGAAGGAUCACGGAAGAGCUGAUACAUCAGUCAUUUGUAGAUCUCACUAGCAUUACGUAAGCCUGCAAAUAACAGCAUAGUAGGCUUCUCUGAAAUACCUAACCGAAGCAGAGUGUAUAUUUUUAGUAAGUACAGAAGCUGCCAAAGUGAACAUUUAAAAAUAUUAAUUGCAAAGUAGUUCUGUGUAAGCCCUAUUAGAGCAAGACUAUACGUAAUGCAUCAGAAAAUCUGCCAGAGCUGUUUUCAGUAGGAUUAGCAAUUAACACAAAUUAUAGGGGAGAAAGGUAUAUUUUAUAAGCAAUGAUGUUCAUAUGGUGGUAGCUAUAUUUUGACCUUGAUAGCCUUAAAACAACACUUUACAGUGGCAGUAAGUACACCAGGCUUGUACUAAAAACUCGGGCAGUCUGUAACUGGGUGGAUAGCCUACAACAUUAAAAUAUUUAGGUAGGUGUCCACUCCCAAAGAAGAGAGAGUUAAUCUCUUUGAGAUCUGUCACGAGAAACAGUUAUUAAAUGAUUCUGUACACACCUGAAGUUGACACAUAGUUCACUUACUGUACCAAUGGGCACUAUGGUUUAUGAGAAUGUGGUUUUAUGAGAAUUAGCAGCAACUUAAACAGAGCCAGCUUCUAACUCAGAAGCAGCUCCAGAACUGCAGUUACAGGUAUUCAGUAGUGGAGGCCUGGCCUCUUUUUGACUGCCAGAUUAUUCAUUUUAGCUAUUGUAUUAGCUCUUCUUUCACCUGUCAGCACAGUUCUUCCAACAAGUUGGAUUGUUUGAGUUUAGUAAUUCUAUAAUGUUCUUAUAUUGUUUCAGCUGUUAACUUUUUAUUCUAAGGCCCCAGCAAAAACUGUAUGCUGUGUUCUUUUUCAAGAAAGACAAUACUUACUUCUGUGGGAGAGGCAAGAAUUAGCCAGCAUUAUCUAUCCGUUUUACUACUCUGUUGCUGCUAAUUGACUUCAAUAGCAAUGGAAUGAUACCACUGAAUAAAGAUACAGAAUGCACAGUUUGUUUUAUUCUUUUAAAUUUAAAAUUGAUGAAUGUUUCUUUAAUUUUCCCUUCUACCAGUGCUCGUCUCCACUGAUUCACUGCAGGGAUUGUCUGUUUUCCUAACAAUGUUUUAAACAAUCCCACAGAAGAUUGUCACUACACCAUGCAAGUAAUUUUAGCGGUAUUCUCUGGAAAGAUCUGUUAAAUUACAUUCUGUGAUUAUUGAAGGUGUAGCAUGGGUUAUCAUUUUCUUUCAAAGUAAAUUAGCAUCUAGAAAGAAUCCUUGGUCAAAUCAAUUCUUCAGGUUUAGUACGGGUCUGCGGUAUACAGUUGCAAAGGAAUUCAUGUGUGAAUUAUUAGAAAAACAUUGUUCAUUAGAAAUUUUCUGUGUUUUCUAGUACUUUGCAGGAGAAACUAUCCAAUUCCCAACAUUUUACAAUGAUUUUUAUUAAAAUAUAAAUGAUAUGAACUGUGGAAAUAUUAGUAACACAGUAAAGGUACCAUAAAUCCUCAAAUAACACACAUUGAAGAUUCAGUUAUGAUAAAUUAUGAAUUGUGGUUUGGUUUUGAGGGGAAACAGCUUUUUAUACAGGAAAACCUUGACCACUUUUGAAAUAUAUUAAGAAUUCACCUAAUUGCUAAGAUCUAUAGCAUAAAAUAUUUCAAAACUGCCAGUUGUUUCUGUAUACUUGCCUUUACACAGAAGGUUAUGGACACUCAUCACCCCAGGACAAAUAAUUGCCUUCCUAUUGUAGAGCAUUAUCAGUGCUAUACAACUGCUAUGCAUCCCACUGUCUCAACUCCUUUCACGUACAAUAAAUAGAACAUCUUCUAAGUUUAGUGCAGCACUUUGUUGACUCAGUUAACUGAAGUCAGCUGAUUUUCUCUUUCUCUUUGGAGUAUUUCCUGGAAUCUACACUGGCAUGGUUUCAGAGACUUGCACUUUAAACUGUACCAAGGAUAUUUUGAAUGUCUCAAUCAGAGUUGCUGUGAUUUAAGUAUAUCAGUUACAGUUUUAUAUUCAGAGGAACAGAAUACUUUGAAAUAUUGUUAAUUCAAUAAUAACUUUUAGCUCACUUGCAUUAGAUACACCUAUGGGCUUUGAUGGGGUUCCAUAAAAUGCUCAAAUUUUAAGGAGAUGGGCCAAAUUACAGAAAAUAUUAAAUACUUUUAAAUAUUAAAUUUCUAAUAGUGUUGUCUUUUAAUUAAUUUGUAAAAGCUAAUUUGCUGUUUUGGCCCCCCCACCAAUUUCUGUGGGAUUUUUUGGCCGUACAUACCUUUAUUGUAACUGGUAGUUCUGUAUUAAUAGAACACACAGCAGUUGCAUGACAGAUCAGAAUAGCAUCUUUCAGUUGGGUGAUACCUAGCAAUGUUCUCGGAGUAGAGGUCAAGAGUGUCUAUGUUCCUUUCAGUGAGGAGAAAGAAAAAAAAAAAAAAGAAAAUACGUUUUUAUUAAAUAGUUCAGUUUAUUCUCUAUAUCACCAUGCAGCUUUAGGCCUUACAUAACUCAAGCUGUAGGAAUCUCUGGUGCAGUUACCCAGGAGACAAAAUGUUUUGCAUUAUUAACAAUUUUACUCCAGUAUCUUUUCCUGGUUGGACUAUGCUGUAGUCACAUGUAAAGAGCAAAAACAAAGGCAUAACAAAGCAAAACCAUCAGCUGUCUUCUAGGUCAGGGUGCAUUGCUCCCCAGCACUUGGGAUGCAGACUAUUUAGUGUGCUUAGCUUUAUACAUCUCUUGAUACAUUCAGACAUUCUCAGCUGUAGUUCCUGGUACUUGUUACUUCUGCAAAUCAUUUCAUUUUUCAGUUUGUGAACUUCAGAAAUAAGGAACUAUCAAAAGUUUGAUGUGACUUCACAGAUCCAUUGCAGUAAGCAGGGAUCGGAUUCAUGUCACAGAAUUGCAGUCUUCUGAUUUCACCAGAAGUGAUGCUCGAGUUUGACUGCCUCCUAUAAAUGUAAAAGGCCUGUACAUACUCACAGAAGCAUCCAACACUUCUGCUGACUUGAGCCAGUCCUCUGUAGGCUUGCUGAGUAAAAAUAAUCUAAACCUAUUAAAAAAAAAAAAAAAAAAAAAAAAGUCCCUAAAGGUAAU